AGCAUCCAACAAGUGGCUCUGGCAGCCAUAUUGUUUUGCUCUGUAGUGUUGCUGAGUCCAGAGGUGCGGGCGUGACGAAUAUUUUAACCCGGGAUAAAAGAACAACAAAUUAAUAUUGGCAACACAAUAAACCGAGGGAGUCCAAUAAACUCUUUCAACAAUUUGUUAAUUGUGUUCUUACUUUUGCAUACAAUAAUAUACGAUAAAUAAGUUUAAGUAAGAUUCAUUUUGCAUGAACAUACACAUAUACGCAUAUCGUCACGAAUACAAACAAAAAAAAAGCCCGACACGAACGCACCUCUGGUUGGAUCAUCACACUCACCAAGGCUCGGCUCAUUACCUAGCGCACUGCGCAUCAUUAUUUUAACGCGUUCAGAAAUAGACGAUUUAAUAUCUGUUUUCUAAUAAAGUCACAAAUUUAUAUAAAUAACUUAUGUUUAGCAUUACGUUUUAAAUAUUGUGUUUAAAAAAAAGUGCUGAAUUGGUUCUUCCUUUUGUCACACCAAACUAUACGCAAUAAAUGCUAAAUUGAUACUAUGUUAUACUCAGAAUGGACUCUGUUAAUAGAGGUGACGAUAUAUCGGGAAAAGAAAUACAUCGCAAGAGUUUCCGAUAGUCAUUUCUAAUUCGUAUGUUAAGAUUUUGUAUAUGGGCACAUUGAUUGCUAUAAAUUCCAUAUAUAGAAUGGGGGCUCUCACUGUUGGGGAAAUCACUAUUGUUAGAGCAGUCCGUGCUGUUAUCGUUAUGUCCGUCUGUUAGUCUAGCCAUAUAUGUGUAGUGACGAUUAUUUGCACAGUAUUAACAAAUAUGGAGUAACUGCCUUUUUAAAAAUCGAAAAUGUUAUUUGAUUCUAUGUGCAGCUUUGAAUUCUGCAAAUGCUUCCCAUAAAAAGGAUAAAUCUUCCGAUUUUCUCUGGGCGAUGUAUUUUCGCAUUUCUCAUUAAUCAUGGUAGUUUAAGUGCUAGUAAUUUUCAUUUUAUAUACUGGCGAUGACAACACAGCGGAGAUAACAACCAUAAGGGGCAUUUCAAAUCUUACCCAAUUUUGCACGUGAGUUAUUUGUCGAUCCCAGAAAAAUCGAUACAAAAGUCUGAUUAUAGUCAGAUCUGAUUAUAGUCAAAGUACUCAGCCCUAUCUUGCAUUA